ACUGGUCACCCAGCUGCCCGCGAGGAGAGGCCUGCGUGCCCUUCCCGGCCCAGGGCUGUGUCUCCUCCCCUGGAGUCCGGGUUUCCGGGGCCUUCGUGGAGUUCGGCCCUCCUUGCCGGCCAACGUGAGUGAAGCAGCUUUUGGGAAGGAGCCUCUGGCCCCGCUGGCCCCAGCUGUCCCCAGGCUCACCAUGAAAUGCAAGUCUUAUUAGUGGAAGGAUAAAGAAGCGAAAAACAGAGGACACAGAAUGGAAGCUGAAGUCUCCUCCCGUCCUCCGCGUCACUCCCCGAAGAAUACGGAGCUGCCCGGAUUCCCCAGCUCCUCCCCGCUGGGGUUGGCUGAGCUGUUGCCA
rnacentral:lncRNA from 1 species